rnacentral:rRNA from 1 species
GACGAACGCUGGCGGCGUGCCUAAUACAUGCAAGUCGAACGCUUCUUUCCUCCCGAGUGCUUGCACUCAAUUGGAAAGAGGAGUGGCGGACGGGUGAGUAACACGUGGGUAACCUACCCAUCAGAGGGGGAUAACACUUGGAAACAGGUGCUAAUACCGCAUAACAGUUUAUGCCGCAUGGCAUAAGAGUGAAAGGCGCUUUCGGGGGUCGCUGAUGGAUGGACCCGCGGUGCAUUAGCUAGUUGGUGAGGUAACGGCUCACCAAGGCCACGAUGCAUAGCCGACCUGAGAGGGUGAUCGGCCACACUGGGACUGAGACACGGCCCAGACUCCUACGGGAGGCAGCAGUAGGGAAUCUUCGGCAAUGGGCGAAAGUCUGACCGAGCAACGCCGCGUGAGUGAAGAAGGUUUUCGGAUCGUAAAACUCUGUUGUUAGAGAAGAACAAGGACGUUAGUAACUGAACGUCCCCUGACGGUAUCUAACCAGAAAGCCACGGCUAACUACGUG